CGCGGCCUAUCAGCUUGUUGGUGAGGUAAUGGCUCACCAAGGCGACGACGGGUAGCCGGCCUGAGAGGGUGACCGGCCACACUGGGACUGAGACACGGCCCAGACUCCUACGGGAGGCAGCAGUGGGGAAUAUUGCACAAUGGGCGAAAGCCUGAUGCAGCGACGCCGCGUGAGGGAUGACGGCCUUCGGGUUGUAAACCUCUUUCAGUAGGGAAGAAGCGAAAGUGACGGUACCUGCAGAAGAAGCGCCGGCUAACUACGUGCCAGCAGCCGCGGUAAUACGUAGGGCGCAAGCGUUAUCCGGAAUUAUUGGGCGUAAAGAGCUCGUAGGCGGUUUGUCGCGUCUAUCGUGGAAGUCCGAGGCUCAACCUCGGAUCUGCGGUGGGUACGGGCAGACUAGAGUGAUGUAGGGGAGACUGGAAUUCCUGGUGUAGCGGUGAAAUGCGCAGAUAUCAGGAGGAACACCGAUGGCGAAGGCAGGUCUCUGGGCAUUAACUGACGCUGAGGAGCGAAAGCAUGGGGAGCGAACAGGAUUAGAUACCCUGGUAGUCCAUGCCGUAAACGUUGGGCACUAGGUGUGGGGGACAUUCCACGUUUUCCGCGCCGUAGCUAACGCAUUAAGUGCCCCGCCUGGGGA
rnacentral:rRNA from 1 species